UCCCUCCAUUACCCACGCGAUCCGCGCUCCCUCCAUUGCCACCGCGAUGCCGCCUUCCCAGGAACCCUUCCAUCCAUGGCGUCGUUGCUGUAAGUGCCCCCCAUACCGCCAUUCCUACCGCCCACGCCUUCAAUGGAAGUCCACGACCCCUAGAGACGCCGACCCUGCCCCCGUCCAGCCUGCGCCUCUGCCAUCCUCGCGCACAUGGCGAGGGAGUGCCCCCGUCCCAGUCCUGCUCGCGAUCCUCGCCUCCCCUUUCUAUUUCCCUAGCCGCGCAGGAGCUGGGAGCCCCGAUCCCCGCCUCCAACAUCGCUCCCCCAUUCCCCAUCACCCACCGGUCGCUACACGCCUCGCGCCUCGCCACGAAGUCGUUCUCCCUCGCGCCUGUGUCGAGCCGAACCACCCGUCAAAGAACAAGGCGCAGCGGAACGCCGACGACGAGAGAGCGGGAAGGACGCCCCCACAGCGGGGGUGGGGGUCGACGAGGUGGCUGACGGGACCGUCGAGCAUGUAGGGAUCUCCACACGCAGGGGAGUGGCGAGGCCGCCGCAGCGAGGGUGGGGGCUGAGGCGACGUUUUACGGGCCUAGCGAGCAGGCGGGGAUCUCUGUCGUCAUCCCGGGAUGCUUCUCCGAGAAGCGGCCUGGUGCGCGUGCGUCCCGCUCCUCUUCCUUCCUAUUCACUUUUUUACUGUGCAUCAAAUGCUCUACUGUUGUGUUGGCAUCUGCUGCGAUCGCCUUGAAUUCGCUCAUGCUGCAAGAGUCAGCAGCUGCGGUGGAGCUGCCCUUGCUGCUGACUUGAGUUUUGAGAGAUGUGACAUCAGGUGCCUUCGUGGUUCCUUGUUCGCUGGUUACAGCUAUACUUUAUCAAGUCUGCUAGCAGCGACCGAUGCCUCCUUCACGUUGGCUUGUUUGGGAUGGUUUAGCAGCAUUUACACUGCCUUGACCACCGCCAGCAGUCAUCUCCUAUCUUUCCUUAGAUGAUCCAUCCUCCCCGUCGUCACUGUCUGAGAAUACUUCAUCUUUAUCAUUGCUUCCAGUCCCCUUGUUGGAUUCUGCAGGCGCAAUACUAUUUUCUUUCACAGCCGUGCUAGCCGAGGAAUCAGCAUCAGAUUUAUUAUCAACUGCUCCAGGGGCUGUUUUUUUUUUGUUUUGGACAGGACUGCAAUUCAUUGGUAGGAAUUUCUCUGUUGCAGUGUACGAACAAGUCAAUUCUCCUAUAGGUUUCAACAUCACCUUUACUGGUUUGCUUAGCCUCACCACCGAUAUAGGUUUAGAAUUUCCUAUAAUACAAACUAAUUUCUGUGGGAUUCUUCACGGCUAUUCCAUUAUUUAGUUAGUAAGUAAUAUACAAUUAGUUUGUCAGUUUGGUGGCUUUAAUUUGCAUAUUCUUCUACCAUGUUUUGGGAAUAUUACUAAUCUAUAUUAACUCUUUGAAGCUUGUUGUAACAGAAAAUAUUCCACUAAAAUUAUCUUGGUCUUUUUUGUAAACAAUUAAUUUCUAAAUUGUCACACAGUUUUGCAUGGUACAUACUUUCCUGGCACAGAGUUUCUUCCUGUCAUGAACUUAUCUUUUUAUAUUAAUUUUAGAAAUAUACCACCUGCCUGUAACCCUCGGGUCAGUCCGUCCGCAGUAAGAGAAUUGUAUAAAAGGUCUAUUUAGGUGACCCAUGAUAUAAUUUCUCAGAUGAGUUUUUCUACUACAAUAGUUUUAUUGCCUAGGUGCAGCAAUAAUCAGUAUUAAGCAAUACAUGAUCAAGUUCAGUAUUGCUACAAUUAACUCUUAAAUGUAGUUUUGUUUUACAUAUUAUAUCUCAAGUUAAUUAUCCUAUCCAUGUUGUCUUGUAUUUUUGCGUUGAAGAGAUGGAAUGUUGGCAGAGAGAACAUGCAGAGAGGACUGCAAUUCAUUGGUAGGAAUUUCUCUGUUGAUGUGUACGAACAAGUCAAUUCUCCUAUAGGUUUCAACAUCACCUUUACUGGUUUGCUUAGCCUCGCCACCGAUAUAUGUUUAGAAUUUCAUAUAAUACAAACUAAUUUCUGUGGGAUUCUUCACGGCUAUUCCAUUAUUCAGUUAGUAAGUAAUAUACAAUUAGUUUGUCAGUUUGGUGGCUUUAAUUUGCAUAUUCUUCUACCAUGUUUUGGGAAUAUUACUAAUCUAUAUUAACUCUUUGAAGCUUGUUGUAACAGAAAAUAUUCCACUAAAAUUAUCUUGGUCUUUUUUGUAAACAAUUAAUUUCUAAAUUGUCACACAGUUUUGCAUGGUACAUACUUUCCUGGCACAGAGUUUCUUCCUGUCAUGAACUUAUCUUUUUAUAUUAAUUUUAGAAAUAUACCACCUGCCUGUAACCCUCGGGUCAGUCCGUCCGCAGUAAGAGAAUUGUAUAAAAGGUCUAUUUAGGUGACCCAUGAUAUAAUUUCUCAGAUGAGUUUUUCUACUACAAUAGUUUUAUUGCCUAGGUGCAACAAUAAUCAGUAUUAAGCAAUACAUGAUCAAGUUCAGUAUUGCUACAAUUAACUCUUAAAUGUAGUUUUAUUUUACAUAUUAUAUCUCAAGUUGAUGAUACAAUAUGUGGCUCCCAACAGUAUGCUUAGUUUUGCAUGUCUUGUGCCUGCUAUUUUCUACCAACCAUUUAAGUGUGUUUGUGAUGAAUAAUUUUUAAGGCAUCCUUACAAAAUUCUGUUAUUUGAAAUUGCUACAACUCAUAAUGCUAUGCAAACUAGCAGAAUGCAGUGGUUAAUUUUGUAUAGAAAUGAGCAACCUAUGUUACAUCAAUUAUUGUGUGUCAGUUCUAAAUUUCACAUUCCACUAAUAUGCAUCGUCUUCUUUUAAUUUUGGUGUUCCAUAAGCAACCUAUUUUGUUGUUAUUUACUAAAUAUGAGCAUAUCUUUUGAUUCUUAUUAAUCAUGAUUUGACACCUGUGUAUUAUAGGAAAAACUGUUGGGAGUUUGGAAGACAUGAUUAUUUCUAUGGUGUUUGCAUUUUUAGAUUAGUGAAAUUUAUAGAAACGUUGAAGUGUCAAGUUAUUUCUGGGUGUGCUUUCUCGUCCUUUGGCGGUAGAGUAUAGUGCUUGCUUAUUUGGUGCAAACGCCAUGAAGUCCCUAUUGAGAAGGAAAUUUGUAUGGGCAAUGGACAUUGACUCGGAAUUCAGAUUCUAGGAGAGCAUUGGCACGUUAUUUGCCUCUGUUAAUUUCAAGAAAAACAUGACAAGUUAAUUUCAACAAUGCACGUUAUUCACCAAACCACACCUUAUCCAGGGAACAAUGGAGUUAUUGAUGGCCAUAGCUUGGUAUGGUGGCAUUGGUUGCGCUCCUAUGAGCUGAACCAUAGCCGACCCAACCUUCUGGAGUUCUUGUAUUCUGAAGAUAUUGUGAUCUCAAACUUGACGUUCUUAAAUCCACCAGCCUAGAGCAUACAUCUGGUGUACUGCAGUAAUGUAAAGGUCCACAAUGUGACGAUUGAGACCUCGCUGGACGCUCCACUCACUGAUGGCAUAGUUCCAGAGCCGCUCUUGCAUUUGGGAGUGAGAUGUCUGGCGGAAUCUUAGACAUCCAUGUUGACCACCUCUGGAUCCAUGACUCCUCCAAGGGUAUUUCUUUCAGACCUCACCGACCGUGGGGGUUACAUAGAAGACGUGGUAUCAACAGAUGCUUGGAAAGUUUUCUGUCGCCAAAUGGGAAACAAGAUAUUGUAGGCCUGGAGCCGUGAAACAACGACACCGCAAGACUGUACAACAGCUUCAGGUGAGCAGCCAUCUAUGAGCAGCCCUCCUGCCAUUGAGGCCUGUGCUGGCAACGACGGAAGCCAUUUGGUGGGAUCUCAGCCAGAUGCUACGCCAUAUGCUUCUACCAGCACAACGCAGAGGAUGAGUUCCGAAGCAUUAGCAAGCCAGCAAUGUGGAUCACUACCACAAAUUUCGAUAAAUCGAGCUGAACGUACCCUUGAGAUGAAGGGCAGCCCCAAUAAUCUUCACUGACACCCAGGCAUGCAGCAAACUACGAAUGGUUUCAAUGAUGUUCCAGGACCAAUGAUGUUCCCACAUGUGGCUCAACUGGUGGUGAAUCAGAUGCAGACACAUACGGCUGAUUGAUAAUGUUGUGUGUGUGCCGGGGGGGGUCGGGUCGCCUUUGAUCCGUCGCGCCUCAACCUGGGGCUGCAACUGUGAGCCUGUUGUGUAAUUGCUUAAGUAGUUAUUAGGAUGAUAGCGUGCAUAGAUGUGUUGGGUGGAUGCUGUAACAGCGGUGACCGGUGAGUUGCGAUUCUGAAUGUGUAGCAGAAAAACCACAACCGAAAUGAAACAUCUGUAUAGAUUAUCGAGGAUUUUUUAGCAUGAAACCGUGCGAAUCAGUUUGUCUAUUGUCUGUAUGGUUUAUAUAUAGACAUCAAACUGACGGUGUUCCCGGACUGCUUAAUCUCUGCUGCCAGUAACAUGAUUAGGAGUGACAA